rnacentral:rRNA from 1 species
UACGUAGGGGGCAAGCGUUGUCCGGAUUUAUUGGGCGUAAAGAGCGUGUAGGCGGCCAGGUAGGUCUGCUGUGAAAACUCGAGGCUCAACCUCGAGACGUCGGCGGAAACCAUCUUGCUAGAGUCCGGAAGAGGAGAGUGGAAUUCCUGGUGUAGCGGUGAAAUGCGCAGAUAUCAGGAAGAACACCCGUGGCGAAGGCGGCUCUCUGGGACGGUACUGACGCUGAGACGCGAAAGCGUGGGGAGCGAACAGG